rnacentral:lncRNA from 1 species
CUCUUCCGCCUCCUGCCUGGUUCGCCGCUCCCCUCCGCGACGACACGCCCCCAGCCCACUCCGCCGCGGGACGCCUCAUCCCGCGGGUACCCUUCACAGGUUUAACAGCCUCCACCCCUCGGGCACCAAGCAGUGUUAUCCAGGAAAAAAAAAAAAAAAGAGACUGAUUCUCAGUAGUAAUCUCUGUGCCUGUGAGGAACUUAAUGCAAGUCUCAGGAUCUCAAAAUAAGACCUACGAGCAUAAAGUAAUGAGUCUGUCAAGCUGGAUUUCCAUGCAUGGGGGAGGAUCUCUUUAAGUAAGGAAACUUCCUUGUGCUUCUUUAAGCACAGUUGCUAUCAUUCCGGGAGAAGCUCCUUUUAACCCAUAUCUUCUUCCAACUAGCAUCCUAUUUUUUUUCUUUCCUUCCCAGCUGAACUUCUUAAGGACCAACCUAUAUGAUGUGAUAUUUUAGAUAUUAACCUAUUUUUCUUGGUAUUCCUUGUAUAGCUUGCCACUUUCCCAACCCUCACCCAUAGGUUUGUUGCAUUGAAGAAAGGAUGUAGAAGGAAAAUCUUUCUGGCUUUUGUUUCUAGACUCUCAAACCCCACAAAUGGGGAGAGGAUUCAGGCCACAGAGAAAUGGCUUCAGGAGAAGCCAAGGGCAGGGGUAUAUAGGUGGAGGGAGAACAGGCAGCAUCUUCCUCCCCCUCAACUCUAGAAACAGAUUUCUCUGGGUCUGAGAGGGUGGGAGGGUGCUUCUAGGUGGACAAAACCACACAGCCCGUUUAACCUUCCUGGUCUCCAAAAUAUCCCGUACCCUAUCUUAGUACAGAGCAAUAUUUCAAAAUCCUGACAAAACCAGAAUGGAGACUCAAAACAGAAAUUGAAUUGGUGGAAUAUAUUAAAACAUAUUUCUUUACAAGCUUGAGUUGUGGGCUAAAAUUCAUACUGCUACAUGUUCAUUAAUCUUGCCUUCCUCACCCCAUAAAAUGUGCUCAGGCUGGGCAUGGUGGCUCACGCCUGUAAUCCCAGCACUUUGGGAGGCCGAGGCAGGCAGAUCACCAGAGGUCAGGAGUUCGAGACCAGCCUGGCCAACAUGGUGAAACCCUGUCUCUACUAAAAAUACAAAAAUUAGCUGGGCGUGGUGGCAGGUGCCCAUAGUCCCAGCUACUUAGUAGGCCGAGGCAAGAGAAUCACUUGAACCCGGGAGGCGGAGGUUGCAGUGAGCCAAGAUCGUGCCACUGCAUUCCAGCCUGGGUGACAAAAGCAGACUCCAUCU